AGAGUUUGAUCCUGGCUCAGGAUGAACGCUGGCGGCGUGCCUAAUACAUGCAAGUCGAACGGAGAGAGCAAUCUCUGAGUGGCGAACGGGUGAGUAACGCGUUGGUGACCUGCCCCACAGAGCGGGAUAACAGGCCGAAAGGGCUGCUAAUACCGCAUGAGCAACCGGGGGAUCAGAAGCCUGGUUGGAAAGCCGAAAGGCGCUGAGGGAGGGGCCUGCGUCCCAUCAGCUCGUUGGUAAGGUAACGGCUUACCAAGGCGAUGACGGGUAGGGGACCUGAGAGGGUGACCCCCCACAAUGGAACUGAAACACGGUCCAUACACCUACGGGUGGCAGCAGUAGGGAAUAUUGGGAAAUGGGCGAAAGCCCGACCCAGCAACGCCGCGUGUGCGAUGAAGGCCUUCGGGUUGUAAAGCACUUUUCACCGGGAAGAGGAAGGACGGUACCGGUGGAAUAAGCCUCGGCUAACUACGUGCCAGCAGCCGCGGUAAAACGUAGGAGGCGAGCGUUAUCCGGAUUUACUGGGUGUAAAGCGCGUGCAGGCGGACGGGUAAGUUGGGUGUGAAAGCUCCCGGCUCAACUGGGAGAGGUCGCUCAAGACUGCCGGUCUAGAGCGUGGUAGAGGAAGGUGGAAUUCCGGGUGUAGUGGUGAAAUGCGUAGAUAUCCGGAGGAACACCAGUGGCGAAAGCGGCCUUCUGGGCCACGACUGACGCUCAGACGCGAAAGCUAGGGUAGCAAACGGGAUUAGAGACCCCGGUAGUCCUAGCCGUAAACGAUGUGAACUUGGCGCCGGAUGGGUAAAACCGAGCGGUGCCGCAGCAAACGCGAUAAGUUCACCACCUGGGGACUACGGCCGCAAGGUUAAAACUCAAAGGAAUUGACGG
rnacentral:rRNA from 1 species